AGGAUGAACGCUGGCGGCGUGCCUAACACAUGCAAGUCGAACGUCCUGUCUCGCAAGAGGCAGGGAGUGGCGGACGGGUGAGUACCACGUGGGUCAUCUACCGUGAGGUGAGGAAUACCGGCGAGAAAUCGCCGACAAGACCGCAUAGGCUCGAUGCAAGUCGAGCAAAGCUCUUUCGAGAGAGGGAGCGCCACACGAGGAGCCUGCGCCCGAUUAGCUAGCUGGUGGAGUAACGGUUCACCAGGGCGACGAUCGGUAGCUGGUCUGAGAGGACGAUCAGCCACACUGGGAUUGAGAACGGCCCAGACUCCUACGGGGGGCAGCAGUGAGGAAUUUUCGUCAAUGGGGGCAACCCUGAACGAGCAACGCCGCGUGCAGGAGAAGGUUUCGGAUCGUAAACUGCUUUUCUCGGGGAAGAGAACGGACGGUACCCGAGGAAUCAGCCCCGGCUAACUACGUGCCAGCAGCCGC
rnacentral:rRNA from 1 species